rnacentral:rRNA from 1 species
CCUACGGGUGGCAGCAGUGAGGAAUAUUGGUCAAUGGGCGGGAGCCUGAACCAGCCAAGUCGCGUGAGGGAAGACGGUCCUAUGGAUUGUAAACCUCUUUUGUCGGGGAACAAAGGCGCCCACGGGUGGCCGGAUGAGGGUACCCGAAGAAAAAGCAUCGGCUAACUCCGUGCCAGCCGCCGCGGUAAUACGGAGGAUGCGAGCGUUAUCCGGAUUUAUUGGGUUUAAAGGGUGCGCAGGCGGACUGUUAAGUCAGCGGUAAAAAGGCGGGGCUCAACCCCGUACAGCCGUUGAAACUGGCAGUCUGGAGUGGGCGAGAAGGAUGCGGAAUGCGGGGUGUAGCGGUGAAAUGCAUAGAUAUCACGCAGAACUCCGAUUGCGAAGGCAGCAUACCGGCGCCCGACUGACGCUGAGGCACGAAAGCGUGGGUAUCGAACAGGAUUAGAUACCCUUGUAGUC